CACACGGCCCCCUCCACACAUGCCCCUCCACGCGGCCCCCUCCACACGGCCCUUCCACACGGCCCCCUCCACACGGCCUCCUCCUGCAACCCCCGACACGUGGAGGGCAGGGUAAAGCGGCUCCCUCCCAGAGAGAGAGCAGCAGAGAGCCGGGCUUUGGGAGGUCCCAGGAGGCCAACCCUUCCUGCACAGAUUGAGUUCAAAGGUCUUUUAGGCCAUACAGCUAUUUUCCAGGAAAAUGGACACCAACCAGUAGGGACACGGAUAUUUUCUAAGGAGAGUGGGGGACAGGGCUGGGGUGGCCUCAAAUGCAGAGGCUGUGUUGGGGGGACAGUCUUGUGGCCCCCAGGUGGCAUGAGGCAGGCAGGAGGGGGAGGGGCACAAGGCAAAGCCCCCAGUCCCUGUCUUGCCCUGUCAGUGAGGAGGAAAAGGAAGCCACCUGUCCCUGUCCCUGCAGAACCCGAGGAGCAGGCCAAGGACCGCCAGCUAUCACAGCCUCUCAUGACCCCGGCCAGGGUGGCCAGUCCUGCAGCCAGGGCCAGGUCAGAGGUCAAGCUGGCAGGUCCAGACUCAUGAGAACUGCCCGGAGGGCUUGCUCAGGCUGGUUUCUGGACCCCCAGUGAGUCUGCUGGGACCUGGAACCUGCAUUUUCGCCGUCUGCCCCCUCAGCUGCCCCCGGGACCUGGGUCUGUGGGCGCAGCUCUCCCUGCCGGGUGGGGUGUGGGAGGCAGUAGAUCCUGUUCCUGGGAGCAGUUGGUCUGGAAGGUGACAGGGUGGCCCUGGGCAGGGGGGCUGGUUCCUCUGGCCUGUGUUGAAGCAUGCCCCUGUCUGGGCUCCUGCCAUCAGCUCAGCCUCCCUGGUAGAAAUGGAGAAUUCCAGGCAGAGCUGGUCCUUCCUCCUGGAGAGCCUGCUCUAGCCAUGGUGACCCAGGACCUGAGAAGUUCUGCUCUUGGGCUGAGCCCCAGGCAGGAAGAGGCCGAGGUCUCUGGGCUCCCACAGGAGAGGAGACGCCCAGCCCAGUGCCAGCCCAUCGAGGCCGUGGACUCUGCGGUCCCCAGGCAGGGGACAUGUGCCAGAACCACCAGGAAGGCUGAGCUCUGGGACCCUGCCAAUGCUCUCACAAAGUUCUGUCAUCUCGUAAAACUCGAGGAAGACUUAGCCAUCCUCGUUUGGGACAGGUGGCCCCUUCCACUAGGUUCAUCAUAACACUCCUUUCACCUGGAGGGUCCCCGAGGAGCCGGGGGUGUGUGGGGUCCCCUGGAGGGGAGGCUGAGCUGGACACGCACUUGGCUCCAUCUGCUGGGAGCCGUUUUGGGGUUCUCAGUCACAGCGUCACUGCCUGCAGGAGCAGCAGGGAGUCCCGGGACAGGAUGGCCAGGGCCAGAGGUCACAUGGCCAGGCAGACACGUCCUCCCAGCCUGGGAGGUAUGGGGACUGCAGCGGGAGGACAUGCCGCUCCUGACACCGGCCCAUGACCUUCCUCUCCACGGCAGGCUGUGAUGGUUGGUGGGGUGGGGCGGCCUUCCAGGUGCCGGGGUUAGAAACAAAUCCCGGCAGCCCUGCAGGAGGAAGUGGGCAUUCCACGAAGGCCGUGAAGAAGCUACCACGAAAUGGGGAAAUGCGAACUUGUCAUCUCCUCUUUCUUCCCUGAAGGAAGGCUCCCCAUCGCUAUCUAACCACGGAAGUUUCAGGCCUCAGAACUCGAUCCAGGGUGGGGGCUCUGCUCCCGGAGCCUCAGGUGACACAGCAGCUGCCACUCCCUGCUCGCACCCCCCUGGCUACAGAAGAGGCCCCCUGACUAAGGAUGAGGCCCCCUGGCCACCGGGGACAGGCUGGGGCUCCCUCCCGGAUUGCCGCCAGCCCAAGCCUGGUUCUCCAGCCACCGCGAGAAAGCAGUGUUCUUCCUGAGUCCCCUCCUGGCUCUGCCCUUGCAUCUGUGCUCCUGUGACCUGCCAGGCCUCCCGCUGGCAGGGGUGUGGUUCUCCCAGUGUGGCCACUGCUGCUGUCACCAACCAAUGCACGCAGCAGGAACUGGACAUCUCAGUCACCAAGUGGGGACCUGUGUGCUCCACCCUCUGUUGUCUGUCCCUGGACAUCAGGGCCACUGUCUUCCGCCCCUGCCCUGGACGUGCAAGGUGUUGAGGCAGCUGCGUGGCCUGGCGCAGUGGGAGAAGAGAGGAAGAAGCGCCUCCCCAGAGCAAGACGCACCCUUUGGCGUGCGGGCCAGGCUCCCUCCUGACCGGACAUGGGAACACGUAACAAUAGGAACAGGCUGCCGAGCAGGGGCUGGCCUCCCCUGGGGUGGACGCAGGAGGUGGGCUGGGAGGUGGGCGUGCCUCAGGAGCCUCUGUGAUGCUCUUUAUGGCCAGGCACGGCGGCUCACACCUGUAAUCCCAACACUUGGAAGGCCGAGGCAGGUGGAUCCCUUGAGGCCAGGAGUUUGGGACCAGCCUGGGUGACCUGGCAAAACCCCAUCUCUACAAAAAAUAUAGAAAUAAAAUUAGCCAGGCAUGGUGGCA